UGCAACGCAGGAGACUGAACCGGGUCCUUUUGCUACCGAGGCAUUGUUGAGAUAGUUGGCAAAACUGGCGCCAGGUCUGUGGAGUGGAAGGCUCUUCAACCUGUAAAAUGGGAGGGUAGUGCCUACUUCACCAUAGCCGUGGGGAGAAGCCCGUGAAAACACCUCUCAUCUGAGCCUGGGGCUUGUUCUUUCUUUGUUGAAGAGGAAUACAGAGGUGUCAAGGACAGAUGAGAACAAGACUGAGACUUUCUACUUGUUGAAAUCUGCGAGAAAAAAUGGGAAAGGAAUGAAUGAGAGGUUAUCUCUUAAUGUAAGUCAAUGUUUAUUCAAUGCUUUG
rnacentral:lncRNA from 1 species